rnacentral:rRNA from 1 species
GACGAACGCUGGCGGCGUGCCUAAUACAUGCAAGUCGAGCGGACCAAAGGGAGCUUGCUCCUGGAGGUUAGCGGCGAACGGGUGAGUAACACGUGGGCAACCUGCCUGUAAGACUGGGAUAACAUCGAGAAAUCGGUGCUAAUACCGGAUAAUAAAAAGAACUGCAUGGUUCUUUUUGAAAGAUGGUUUCGGCUAUCACUUACAGAUGGGCCCGCGGCGCAUUAGCUAGUUGGUGAGGUAACGGCUCACCAAGGCGACGAUGCGUAGCCGACCUGAGAGGGUGAUCGGCCACACUGGGACUGAGACACGGCCCAGACUCCUACGGGAGCAGGCAGUAGGGAAUCUUCCGCAAUGGACGAAAGUCUGACGGAGCAACGCCGCGUGAGUGAUGAAGGUUUUCGGAUCGUAAAACUCUGUUGUUAGGGAAGAAC